rnacentral:RNase_P_RNA from 1 species
CUACAAACCCGAGCCAUCGCUCCGAGCAAUCGGGGAGGAAAGUCCGGACAGUAAAGAGCAACCCACCGGUUAAGCGCCGGCUUCCCGCUAACCCGGGAAAGAGAGAGUGCCACAGAAAAUAACUAUCACACCAAAAGUGUGACAAAGGUGAAAACGUGAGGUAAGAGCUCACGGCUGUAACUGGUAACAGGGGCAGCGGGUAAACCUUGGGUACUGUAAUGCCAUGUAUAGGAACGUUGGAGGGCUGCUCGCCCGAGUUGCUGCUUUGCAGCACAGGUUCCAGGGUAGGCAGCAAGAUCGGUUCAGUAAUGACCCGGCCAGAUAAAUGAUGGAGUUGAAACAGAAUCCGGCUUACGAGGUUUGUAGUUUU